AUCAACCACUUUCCUUCACACUUCUUGUUUUUUACAACUAAACAAUUAAAAUCAAAUUAUUUAUUUCCCAUUUGAUUUAUUUAUUUCUUUUUUUUUCUUUUUGAUUAUAUAUAACUCUCUAAAUUAUCCGCACUUUUUCUCUUUUUUAUUUUUUCUAAAAUUAUUCCAUUUCUCUCUCUCUGCGUUUCUCCAUUCCCGCCGGAGAACUGCUUUGUUUGCCGGUGAACAGUUGCCGGUGAAGUUGCAACGCGCAUAGUUUCUAUGUUUCCAUGCUUUUGAGUAGUGUCCGUUGUUUCCGCUCCUGGAUAGAGUAUCCGGAAUCGCCGGCAAACGUUUUUCGUGUUGCCGGAAAGCUGCUUGUUGCUGGUGUACAGUGUCUCCAGAGAAUAUACACUCUCUCAGAUUCUCUAUUGUGUUCUAUUUUAUAGUAGUGUACUUUGUUCCUGUGCGUAGUUCGAUCACUCGAGCUGUGGAAUCGUUCUGAUCUCUGAGUUUGGCUUGGUUUAUGCAAUCUGGAGUGUAGGAGAAGACUGCCGGAGGGGACUAUGAGCUUUGGAAUACGAUGCUAUGAGAACAGUUGACGAAUGUCGAGGGAAGCUAUGUUGGAGUUUUUGAAGCGAAAAAGGCUUCAACGAAUGAAAGCAGAAUCCAUGAAUGAUUUGACUUCUGUCAGCAGUACAAUGAGUAGAAGUGGAGGAGAUGCCCUAAGAUCUACAGCUUCCUGUGGUGUAAGAAUUCGUGUUAAUGCUGAUAUGCAUUCAGGGUCGGGGACUUCUUUAAAUGAAAGAAAUGUUUUCCCAAAGCACAAGGUUGCGAAGUUUGAUACGUCUGAUCUUGAAUGGACUGAUAAAAUUCCAGAAUGUCCAGUGUAUUAUCCAAGUAAAGAGGAGUUUGAGGAUCCUAUAGUUUAUCUCCAGAAGAUAACUCCCGAAGCUUCUAAAUAUGGAAUAUGCAAGAUUGUUUCCCCAAUCAUGGCUUCUGUUCCUGCUGGAGUAGUUUUGAUGAAAGAGAAGGUUGGCUUUAAAUUUACAACAAGGGUACAGCCACUUCGUCUAGCUGAGUGGGAUAGAGAUGACAGGGUUACUUUUUUCAUGAGCGGGAGAAACUACACAUUUCGUGAUUUCGAGAAAAUGGCAAACAAGGUUUAUGCUCGUAGGUAUUGUAGUGCUGGAUGUCUUCCUCCUACAUAUAUGGAAAAAGAAUUUUGGCAUGAAAUAGCUUCCGGAAAGACUGAGAGUGUUGAAUAUGCAUGCGAUGUCGAUGGUAGUGCAUUUUCAUCUUCUCCCAAUGAUGAACUUGGAAAAUGCAAAUGGAAUAUGAAGAGAUUUUCUUGCCUACCUAAAUCAGUACUUCGACUACUCGAAAAAGCAAUCCCGGGAGUUACAGAACCGAUGUUGUACAUUGGAAUGCUAUUUAGUAUGUUUGCCUGGCAUGUUGAAGAUCACUACUUGUACAGCAUCAAUUAUCAUCACUGCGGCGCAGCAAAAACCUGGUACGGUAUUCCAGGUCAUGCAGCACUCGACUUUGAAAAGGUUGUCCGAGAGAAUGUCUAUAACAAUGAUAUCUUAACCGCCGAUGGAGAGGAUGGAGCCUUUGAUGUGCUUUUGCAGAAGACAACAUUUUUUCCUCCUAACAUUUUAUCAGAACAUGAUGUUCCUGUCUAUAAAGCUGUUCAAAAGCCUGGUGAAUUUAUAGUAACUUUUCCAAGAGCAUAUCAUGCCGGAUUCAGCCAUGGUUUUAACUGUGGUGAGGCUGUAAACUUUGCAACUGGUGAUUGGUUUCCAAUCGGUUCAAUUGCUAGCCGCCGUUAUGCACUCCUGAACAGGGUGCCUCUUCUUCCCAAUGAGGAACUUCUCUGCAAAGAAGCAAUGCUUUUACUUACGGAUUUGGAACUUGAAUAUUCAGCUAUUUCAUCUGCAGACUUGAUCACCCACCAUACCAUCAAAGUUUCUUUUAUAAAUUUAAUGCGGUUUCACCAUCGUGCUCGCUGGUGCUUCCUGAAAUUAAAAGCAUUUUCUGGUAUAUCGUCAUUUUCACACAGCACUAUCCUCUGCAGCAUAUGCAAGCGUGACAGUUAUGUAGCAUAUCUGAACUGCAGCUGCUAUUCACAUGCAGCAUGCCUUCGCCAUGAUCCUAGGUCACUUCAUUUUCCUUGUGGCAGCAGUAGAACCCUUUGCUUAAGGGAAGAUAUUUUGGACAUUGAAACUACAGCUAGAAAGUUUGAGCUAGAUGACAAUGUUUUGCAUGAUGUUGCGCAUUAUCAAGAAGGUGAUGACUUGGCUCUCCUCUUGAACAUGUUUCCGCAAGCUGAAGAGGAAGGAUAUGUUCCAUAUUGUGAAAUAAAUUUUGAAUGGACAGUAAAAGCUGAGGACCGGGUAGAACAAACAUUUGAUGAGCAAGCUUCCAAUGCUCCUGCCUCUAGUAUUGAACUCGUGCCCAAUACUGGUUCGACAAUGGAGCGGAAUGACUGCCUCCCCACUAGUAUUAAUGUACAGGAAAAUGCUUAUAACUCUCAAGAAGGAAACAAUAUAUCUGUGAAGCCUUUAAGAGACAUUUCUAGGUGUAGAAGUGAAAGAUUAGCUUGCUCACCUAGUGCUGACUAUUUAAAAGUACAUGAAAAAAUAGCUCAUGUUUCAGAUGUUAGAACUGUUAUUGACCAAGAUGAUGAUGAGUCCGAUUCAGAAAUUUUCAGAGUGAAGCGACGUUUUAGAGCAGAAAAUGGAAGUAGACGUGAUUCAACAUCAGUUAACAUUGAGCACCAGGUAUGUGGAUACUGGGGUCUAAGUUUGGGUGCAAUCUUUUGCUCUUUUUGGGUUUUCAAAUUAAAGUUUCUAGUUAAACAGUUCUAUGACAAGGGGAAAAGGUGUUGGUUUCUAUUUGGCUUUUCAAUGUGUAUCUUCUGCAUUCAUUCAUGUUCUCCCUUUCGUGUUUUGCAUAAAUUAGCCUUGUAACAUACAUAAUCUACAUACUUCUUCGAUUCGUGAAGGGAUUGAGUUCAUAAUUUGCUGUGUAACCUACAGUUAGAUGGUCAAAAGAUAAUAAUUCUUGGGGUCAUUUGGUUUGAAUUCAAGUUAUGAUGGGAUUAAUUAUGUUGAGAUUAGUUAUGAUGGGAUUAUUUUUUAUUGAGUGUUUGGUUUGUUGUAUUCAAAAUAAUAAAUUUUAAGAACAAUUUAUUUGUUUACAAAAAUGCCCUUCAUGAAUGUAAAAGUGAUGUAACAAAAGGGUUGAAAGAGACAUUUUGUCAUUUACUUAUUUUAUCCCCGGAUUACUAUACCACCCAAGGGGAAGGAUAGCUUAUCCCGUUACUAAUUAUUAAUCCCGAGACAAAUUAUCCCGGACUUGCCAACCAAAAAACAAAUUAAGUGUUACUAAUUAUUAAUCCCGAGACAAAUUAUCCCGAGACAAAGUUGCUAAUGAUAAAAGAAAAAUAUGCAAAAAUUGCAAUGACUAGUAGAAAGGCUGACAAGUCAAAUUGCUAAACUUGAGAUGUAAAUCGUCAUCAUAUUGUUUUCAAGAAAUCGUGAAACCAAUGUUGAGUAGCUAGCUAGGUUAUAGGUAUUUUAUGGUAACUAUAGAUUAAGCAUUGCAUUGCAUCAUGGCUUUUGCUUCAAUUUUGCAUUCAAACCCAAUAUUGAAAUUUUGCUACUUUGCUUUAAAAAUCAGUUGUCUUAUGGUUGUAACAACUUCUUUUCGAUUUUUGUUACCAAAUUUGGAGCAAAAUGAGGAGUGUAUUUAGUUACAGGGCUCGCUCACAUAGUUUUGCUACCCACACUCUGUCGAUCCAGGGUUACAAACGAUUAAGGAAACAUCAAACUGAAGGGGUCGGGUCCUUGUAUUCAUCAGACCGUUCCAAUGCUAAUUCAAGCCAUUCCAAGGAAGACAAGUCGAGCAGAGGUGGUACACUUGCCAUCUCUGUUAAGUUU